rnacentral:tRNA from 1 species
GGGGCUAUAGCUCAGCUGGGAGAGCACAUCGCUGGCAGUGAUGAGGUCAUCGGUUCGAGACCGAUUAGCUCCACCA